UGCGACUUGUUCAGAUCGUGAACUUGGACAAAAGAAAACUUUUCCAGUAUCUAUGAUCAGUACGGAUGAAUAAGAUAAAAUAGAAGAAUCCCCUUCAUUAUCUAAAAAAAAAAAGAUCUAUCAUAUUCGUCUAUUGUGUAUCAAAUUUAUGGUUUCAUUGCUGCAACCUCAAUUUUCAAUUUAAAACAAGAAAGAGUUUCCCAUUGGUAACAA
rnacentral:lncRNA from 1 species